UAGGGAAUCUUCGGCAAUGGGGGGAACCCUGACCGAGCAACGCCCGCGUGAGUGAAGAAGGUUUUCGGAUCGUAAAGCUCUGUUGUUAAGGAAGAACGAGUGUGAGAAUGGAAAGUUCAUACUGUGACGGUACUUAACCAGAAAGGGACGGCUAACUACGUGCCAGCAGCCGCGGUAAUACGUAGGUCCCGAGCGUUGUCCGGAUUUAUUGGGCGUAAAGCGAGCGCAGGCGGUUAGAAAAGUCUGAAGUGAAAGGCAGUGGCUCAACCAUUGUAGGCUUUGGAAACUGUUUAACUUGAGUGCAGAAGGGGAGAGUGGAAUUCCAUGUGUAGCGGUGAAAUGCGUAGAUAUAUGGAGGAACACCGGUGGCGAAAGCGGCUCUCUGGUCUGUAACUGACGCUGAGGCUCGAAAGCGUGGGGAGCGAACAGGAUUAGAUACCCUGGUAGUCCACGCCGUAAACGAUGAGUGCUAGGUGUUAGGUCCUUUCCGGAGCUCAGUGCCGCAGCUAACGCAUUAAGCACUCCGCCUGGGGAGUACGACCACAAGGUUG
rnacentral:rRNA from 1 species